rnacentral:rRNA from 1 species
UACGGAGGAUCCGAGCGUUAUCCGGAUUUAUUGGGUUUAAAGGGAGCGUAGGUGGAUUGUUAAGUCAGUUGUGAAAGUUUGCGGUUCAACCGUAAAAUUGCAGUUGAAACUGGCAGUCUUGAGUACAGUAGAGGUGGGCGGAAUUCGUGGUGUAGCGGUGAAAUGCUUAGAUAUCACGAAGAACUCCGAUUGCGAAGGCAGCUCACUGGACUGUUGACUGACACUGAGGCUCGAAAGUGUGGGUAUCAAACAGG